rnacentral:rRNA from 1 species
GGCAGGCCUAACACAUGCAAGUCGAGCGGAAACGACUUAUCUGAACCUUCGGGGAACGUUAAGGGCGUCGAGCGGCGGACGGGUGAGUAAUGCCUAGGAAAUUGCCCUGAUGUGGGGGAUAACCAUUGGAAACGAUGGCUAAUACCGCAUGAUGCCUACGGGCCAAAGAGGGGGACCUUCGGGCCUCUCGCGUCAGGAUAUGCCUAGGUGGGAUUAGCUAGUUGGUGAGGUAAUGGCUCACCAAGGCGACGAUCCCUAGCUGGUCUGAGAGGAUGAUCAGCCACACUGGAACUGAGACACGGUCCAGACUCCUACGGGAGGCAGCAGUGGGGAAUAUUGCACAAUGGGCGCAAGCCUGAUGCAGCCAUGCCGCGUGUGUGAAGAAGGCCUUCGGGUUGUAAAGCACUUUCAGUCGUGAGGAAGGUGGUGUAGUUAAUAGCUGCAUCAUUUGACGUUAGCGACAGAAGAAGCACCGGCUAACUCCGUGCCAGCAGCCGCGAGUAAUACGGAGGGUGCGAGCGUUAAUCGGAAUUACUGGGCGUAAAGCGCAUGCAGGUGGUUUGUUAAGUCAGAUGUGAAAGCCCGGGGCUCAACCUCGGAAUAGCAUUUGAACCUGGCAGACUAGAGUACUGUAGAGGGGGGUA